rnacentral:rRNA from 1 species
UACAGAGGGUGCGAGCGUUGUUCGGAAUUAUUGGGCGUAAAGGGCGCGUAGGCGGUGCGGUGAGUCAGCUGUGAAAUCUCCUGGCUCAACUGGGAGCUUGCAGGCGAAACUGCCGUGCUGGAGUGUGGGAGAGGUGCGUGGAAUUCCUGGUGUAGCGGUGAAAUGCGUAGAUAUCAGGAGGAACACCUGUGGCGAAAGCGGCGCACUGGACCACAACUGACGCUGAUGCGCGAAAGCUAGGGGAGCGAACGGG